UAUGACAGCUUGGCUUUGGCUUGUGUUUCAGUAUUUCAGUAUUUGGAUGUGUUUUUGUCAAAAACCUAAAAAUAUUCUUAACUAUUCGCACCCUUAAAGCUAAUAAAUGAUAAUUUCACCGAUAGUCUGCUGAAUAAAGUGUUUAGCACUGCAUUGGUUGUACGAAACCACUGUAUAAGAUGGAGGAUGGCAUGGACAUAGAGGAACAUGAUCUGUUGAACAACCCUACUGUGAGGAGUGUGUUUCCAGAUCUUGCCGUUCUCAAACAAGAAAUUAUUGAUUUUGAUACAAGUGAAGGUGUAGCACCAGAAACCUUUACAACGCAGGAAGUACCAAAGAGAAAUGAAAACAAAAAUAAUCUACACAAUUUAACAGUCUACAGUGGGGAUCAUCCUACCGAGUGCUCCACUAAAGACCUGGAUGUGAAACCUGACCACCUGUGUACUGACAUGGAUGUCACAAUAACUGUCAAGGGGAACAGUUUGACAAAAUUUCAUGAAGUUGAUACUGAAAUCAAGAAGGAAUCAGAGAAUGUUGUAGCAAAUGAAUUGCCAUUUUACAGAAACAGAAUUAUACUCGGCAAGAUACAUGUAGACGAGUCUGAUGAAGAACGAGAAAUUGAUGCACCAGGUGACUGUAAUAAUGUUGUUAACAACAAAACAAACAAUGAUCAAGAUUUGGCAGUAUCAAUAUACACUGAUGAAAAUAGAAGCAUGAGGAUAACUAAACAGUAUUAUGAAAUGGAAAAAUGUUUGGGAGCGAAAAUUAUUGUAACAAACUGUUAUACCACUCUAUUGAACAACAACUGUUACUGUGCUCAGUGUGCAGUGUUGUUCCCCACCACUGAAGCGUAUAGUGAACAUUACACGAGCACACACACCGAGACCACUACCUCAACUAAAGCCUCGGCUUCUCUAGUAAUACGUAAAAAUAUGAUACACCCACGUGAGCGGAAAUUUGUGUGUGACACCUGCGAGAAAACAUUCAGCAAAAAAAGUAGCUUGAUAGAGCACAUCAUGUUAAUUCACACUGGCCACAAGCCAUUCGAGUGCCGUAUUUGCACGAAAACAUUUAGACAUAGAAAUUGUUUAAUUAACCACAAGUUUAGUCUCUCUGGGAAAAAGCCAUUCCAGUGUAACAUUUGCACGAAAAUAUUCAAGCAAACAAGUCAUUUGAAGCGACACAUGUUACUACACACUGGAGAAAAACCAUUCGAGUGUGAAAUUUGUAAGAACUUAUUUAGCCAUAGUUUCACAUUGAAGAGACACAUGCUACUGCACACUGGUGAAAAGCCAUUCCAGUGUGAAACAUGCAAGAAAACCUUCAGAAAUAUAUGGAAUUUAAAACAACACAAGUUACUUCACACAGGCGAGAAGUUCCAGUGUGACAUUUGCAAGAAAACCUUCAGACAUAAAAGUACUAUAAAAACGCACAUGUUAAUUCACACUGGCGAAAAGCCAUUCGAGUGUGACAUUUGCACGAAAUCAUUCUACCGAAUAAGUAAUUUGAAGAGCCACAAGUUAAUUCACACUGGCGAAAAGCCAUUCGAGUGUGAAACUUGCAAGAAAACAUUUAGACAAAGAACUCAUUUGAAGAACCACAAGUUAAUUCACACUGGCGAAAAGCCAUUCCAGUGUGACAUUUGCACGAAAUCAUUUAACCAUAUAAAUACUCUUAAGAGGCACAAAUUACUUCUGCACAGCCAUAUGAUUCUGAUGCGUCGGAAAAAAUGAGAAAUCCGGGAAACGUAGUACAUGACACGGCGUGAAACAGCGGGAUGUCAGUGAGUGUCAGUGGGGCGCGCUGCGGGCGAGGGCUCGGCCUCCGCCUGUCCCCUCACUGCAGGCAGCGCCGGCGACGCACAGGCCGCGUCGUCGACACGCUCUCCUACACCCACAUACAAGCGACUCCACCUACACUAACCACCUCAGUUGCAAUUCUGACAUCGGCGCGGACGGUCGCUUUCUAGCGGCGCCGUCUGUAGCCGUCACGUGUGACUCACUACUGAGUGACCCGGCUGCUCAAGGACAGCGUCCUGUUGUACACCGAGAUGCCUGAAAUCCCGGCUCAAUUGGAAGCCUCGGAACAGUAUAAAAUGUCAUUAAUCGUUUGGUUAAAACAACUAAAUGUUGUAUAUUUUUAAUAAACGUUAUUAUUUCAAAAUACUGAUGUUGUUUUCAUAUUAUUUGUGGUACCUGUUGCUGUGCUAGUGCCGCGGUGGUACAGAGGGCCUUCGCAAGAGUGCGCCGCGCCGUCCUGUCCUCAGCAACUGUCCUGGCUUCUGUCCAGCUCAGCGCUUGCGCUCGCAGCUCGCCGUCAACUGUACGCCGCCAUGUGUGCACCGACGACCGGGACACGGCGUCUGCGGCGGCUACUAGCUACUCAUUCAAAGCUUGUUUUGACAUUACUCUUAUGUGAAUAAAAUAUUGGACAGUAACUACCUACCUAUAUAAUUUUAAAGACUACAAUAUACCUAGUAUGAGUACCAGGAUUAUUUAUUGUUUAUUUCACCUCAAUAAUCAAUAAAUACCUACGUUAGAGAGUUUAUUUGUGGUAGUGUUAAAGAAUGCGAUCAAAUUUUUUGGCGUUUUAAGAACAACGUAGUUACUUGCUGCCCUUGCGUCCCCCGCACCCCGGCAACUGAACUGAGGGCUAGGUGUGUUUUUCAUAACCGAUUGAGCAGUGAAAAUCGACAUUUGUACGGUGCGGAGCUAGUGCAGCGCGUAUACCGCUAGAUGGCGACUCUCUCGCGCUACACAAAUUCGCGUUUACUCGCCGCUAUUCUAACGGAGUAAAAACUCGCACUCCCCAUGCGGGUCAGCAUGGAGACGGGGAGUUGAGCGCAACGUCUAGUGUAUUGUUCCUCUGUGGCAAUGUGUCUGACUAUGCGGGGCUGCGGGGGACGCGGGGUCCUCACUAACUCUAGUAGGAAAGGAGUAACUAAGAAGAUUUAAUAUCAUUCCACUUUAGGCAGGCUUCAUGCAGGAUUAGGUAUGAUCUAGGUACAUCAAUAUACAUAUAAAAAUACUUUUAUGGUUUAUGGAGUGAGAGAGUGAGGUGAGUCCAAGGAACGUAAUACCUACCUACUUCUCUUACAAUAAGAAGCCGCUCCUCUGUCAAGCUAUGAAAUGCUACAUGACAGCGCUGCUAUAGGUAAGUAACUACCAGCAAACUAAACAAAACUUUUAGUACAAGGAGGCGGAAUAUUACCUAUCAUGCAAUGUUUUCUAUUUAAAACUUCGCGUUGGAAUUUCUAUAUAUUUCAGUUAUGUGAUAAACGUCGAUACCGCGGUUAUUUCAUACAGUCCUGUACCGGUAUUGAGUUCUCAGAGCCAUCUGUUGUUUGUCAUCAAAACUAGUCUAUGAUAUCUACUUUGCUUGUCUUUCCUUUUUAAAAUUUACUUAUAAUUUUUAUCUUGCUUUUACUCGAGAAUACGUGAGAAUAUGUGAGUAAGAGCUCUCAAGAAGGAACAUGUGAGGCCUCGGCUGUGGCGGCGGUGGUGUUGAUGUAAAAAUGAAAUACUUAAUCUGUGAAAUUAAAACAAAAACCACAGAGUACUUUCAUUUACAAACAAAAUGUCAAUGAUAUUAUGAUAUAUGACAGCUUGGCUUUGGCUUGUAUUUCAGUAUUUGGAUGUGUUUGGAUUCGGUUUCGUGCGUGACUGGGGUACCCACGUGUUCCUAACAAUCAUCGCGAUUUCGGACCUUUUUCUGUGCCAAUUUACAUAGUUAAUACCUGUUAUUUGUUGUUAUUGUGGUGGUGGUAACUGGUAUUAACCCUGUAAAUAUAUCUAAAUUACCGUAAAGACAGUUAUAAUAUACAUGUGUGUUCCUUAUUACAAUUGAAUUUGGCGGAAUUUGCUGUGUCAGUCACACACGGCAUAGUGCCACAACCAAAGAUUGAUUG